rnacentral:rRNA from 1 species
GACGAACGCUGGCGGCGUGCCUAAUACAUGCCAGUUGAGCGAUGAAGCUUGGUGCUUGCACCAAUUUGAAGAGCAGCGAACGGGUGAGUAACGCGUGGGGAAUCUGCCUUUGAGCGGGGGACAACAUUUGGAAACGAAUGCUAGUACCGCAUAACAACUUUAAACAUAAGUUUUAAGUUUGAAAGAUGCAAUUGCAUCACUCAAAGAUGAUCCCGCGUUGUAUUAGCUAGUUGGUGAGGUAAAGGCUCACCAAGGCGAUGAUACAUAGCCGACCUGAGAGGGUGAUCGGCCACAUUGGGACUGAGACACGGCCCAAACUCCUACGGGAGGCAGCAGUAGGGAAUCUUCGGCAAUGGACGAAAGUCUGACCGAGCAACGCCGCGUGAGUGAAGAAGGGUUUCGGAUCGUAAAACUCUGUUGGUAGAGAAGAACGUUGGUGAGAGUGGAAAGCUCAUCAAGUGACGGUAACUACCCAGAAAGGGACGGCUAACUACGUG